rnacentral:rRNA from 1 species
AUUGAACGCUGGCGGCAGGCCUAACACAUGCAAGUCGAGCGGAUGAAGGGAGCUUGCUCCUGGAUUCAGCGGCGGACGGGUGAGUAAUGCCUAGGAAUCUGCCUGGUAGUGGGGGACAACGUUUCGAAAGGAACGCUAAUACCGCAUACGUCCUACGGGAGAAAGCAGGGGACCUUCGGGCCUUGCGCUAUCAGAUGAGCCUAGGUCGGAUUAGCUAGUUGGUGAGGUAAUGGCUCACCAAGGCGACGAUCCGUAACUGGUCUGAGAGGAUGAUCAGUCACACUGGAACUGAGACACGGUCCAGACUCCUACGGGAGGCAGCAGUGGGGAAUAUUGGACAAUGGGCGAAAGCCUGAGCCAGCCAUGCCGCGUGUGUGAAGAAGGUCUUCGGAUUGUAAAGCACUUUAAGUUGGGAGGAAGGGUUGUAGAUUAAUACUCUGCAAUUUUGACGUUACCGACGGAAUAAGCACCGGCUAACUCUGUGCCAGCAGCCGCGGUAACAC